UACGUAUGGGGCAAGCGUUAUCCGGAAUUAUUGGGCGUAAAGAGUGCGUAGGUGGUUACCUAAGCGCAAGGUUUAAUCUUGAGGCUCAACCUCAUUCUGCCUUGCGAACUGGGCUACUUGAGUGCUGGAGGGGAAAGCGGAAUUCCUAGUGUAGCGGUGAAAUGCGUAGAUAUUAGGAAGAACACCGGUGGCGAAGGCGGCUUUCUGGACAGUAACUGACACUGAGGCACGAAAGCGUGGGGAGCAAACA
rnacentral:rRNA from 1 species